rnacentral:rRNA from 1 species
AGAGUUUGAUCAUGGCUCAGAACGUACGCUGGCGGCACGCCUAAUACAUGCAAGUCGAACGAAGUAGCAAUACUUAGUGGCAGACGGGUGAGUAACAUGUGGGUAUCUUCCCUUUGGUGAGGAAUAACACGAGGAAACUUGUGCUAAUACCUCAUAAGUCUUUACGGAGAAAGCUUUAUGCGCCAAUGGAUGAGCCCGCACUUGAUUAGUUUGUUGGUAGGGUAAUGGCCUACCAAGACUGUGAUCAAUAGCUGAUUUGAGAGGAUGAUCAGCCACAUUGGGACUGAGACACGGCCCAAACUCCUACGGGAGGCAGCAGUAGGGAAUCUUGCACAAUGGAGGAAACUCUGAUGCAGCGAUGCCGCGUGAGUGAAGAAGGCCCUUGGGUUGUAAAGCUCUUUCGUCGGGGAAGAAAAUGACUGUACCCGAAUAAGAAGGUCCGGCUAACUUCGUGCCAGCAGCCGCGGUAAUACGAAGGGACCUAGCGUAGUUCGGAAUUACUGGGCUUAAAGAGUUCGUAGGUGGUUAAAAAAGUUGGUGGUGAAAUCCCAGGGCUUAACUCUGGAACUGCCUCACAACUUUUUAGCUAGAGUAUGAUAGAGGAAAGCAGAAUUUCUAGUGUAGAGGUGAAAUUCGUAGAUAUUAGAAAGAAUACCAAUUGCGAAGGCAGCUUUCUGGAUCAUUACUGACACUGAGGAACGAAAGCAUGGGUAGCGAAGAGGAUUAGAUACCCUCGUAGUCCAUGCCGUAAACGAUGUGUGUUAGAUGUUGGAAAUUUAUUUUCAGUAUCGCAGCGAAAGCAAUAAACACACCGCCUGGGGAGUACGACCGCAAGGUUAAAACUCAAAUGAAUUGACGGGGACCCGCACAAGUAGUGGAGCAUGUGGUUUAAUUCGAAGAUACGCGCAGAACCUUACCAACACUUGACAUGUUCGUUUCGACUCUAAGAGAUUAGAGUUUUCGGUUCGGCCGGACGAAACACAGGUGCUGCAUGGCUGUCGUCAGCUCGUGUCGUGAGAUGUUGGGUUAAGUCCCGCAACGAGCGCAACCCUCACUUUUAGUUGCCACCAUUUAGUUGGGCACUCUGAAAGAACUGCCAGUGAUAAGCUGGAGGAAGGUGGGGAUGACGUCAAGUCCUCAUGGCCCUUACGUGUUGGGCUACACACGUGCUACAAUGGCAUUUACAACAGGAAGCAAGAUGGCGACAUCAAGCAAAUCCUAAAAAAAUGCCUCAGUUCGGAUUGUACUCUGCAACUCGAGUACAUGAAGCUGGAAUUACUAGUAAUCGCGGAUCAGCGCGCCGCGGUGAAUACGUUCCCGGGUCUUGUACACACCGCCCGUCACACCAUGGAAGUUGGUUCUACCUUAAGGCAAAGCAUAAAACCUUUGACCACGGUAUAGUCAGCGACUGGGGUGAAGUCGUAACAAGGUAGCC